UACGGGGGGGGCAAGCGUUGUUCGGAAUUACUGGGCGUAAAGGGCUCGUAGGUGGCCAACUAAGUCGGACGUGAAAUCCCUCGGCUUAACCGGGGAACUGCGUCCGAUACUGGUUGGCUUGAGUUUGGGAGAGGGAUGCGGAAUUCCAGGUGUAGCGGUGAAAUGCGUAGAUAUCUGGAGGAACACCGGUGGCGAAGGCGGCAUCCUGGACCAACACUGACACUGAGGAGCGAAAGCCAGGGGAGCAAACGGG
rnacentral:rRNA from 1 species